UACGUAGGGUGCGAGCGUUGCCCGGAUUUAUUGGGCGUAAAGGGCGCGUAGGCGGCCACGCACGUCCGUUGUGAAAUCGCCCGGCUCAACUGGGCGGGGUCGGCGGAUACGGCGUGGCUGGAGCAAGCUAGGGGGCAAUGGAAUUCCCGGUGUAGUGGUGGAAUGCGUAGAUAGUCGGAGGAACACCAGUGGCGAAGGCGGUUGCCUGGAGCUUUGCUGACGCUGAGGCGCGAAAGCGUGGGGAGCGAUCCGG
rnacentral:rRNA from 1 species